CCCGACUAUAUUUCUAUGAUGAAUACGAACAUAUAAAAAUGCAUUAAAGAUUUAUGAAUACUUAAAGAUCACGUAAAGCAUAGCGGUAUAUUUCUAUCCCCUAUCGGACUUUACGACAAUUAACAUAAUGUCUAACUUAUUUUCCAUCUCUCGAGGGUAAAACAAGUCACAAAUCUCAUACAACUAUUGCGCACAUAAUUGUAGAGAAAAUAAAAUAUAUGCAAAUCAUUCAAUAAUUAAAAACAUGUUUUAACGUCAAAUGAAUAAAAUUCAAGAUUAAUGAUUCAUAAUAUAAGGUUCAUCGCAAAUCCUAGCACGAAAAGAUCUAGCCUAACAUAACGGUAGAAUUAAAUAAAUAAAAGUGGAACGACAUCACCAAUAAUUGACGAAACGUGAUUAAUCUUUCAAUGUAUAGAUCUGUCGUCUUUUUCCUCUUUUCUGCGUGAUGUCGUCUGCCUCUGUAUGCGCGUUCCUUAAUUCCAAUUGUCCAAUUUCUCCCCAAGCAGCCUGCUUCCUGUGGCAAUUAUAUAUGUAUAAAAAGCAGAUUUGAGCCCACCAAUUAAUUCCCAGCAGCUGAUUUAUUUUAGUAAUUCAGCACUCAAUUCCCAGGUCCUAAUCUGCUUGGCUCGAUCUCUGUGUAUAUAUAUUUAAGUGCAACUGUCCAAUGUCUCUUUAAUUCCAAUUCGACCCCAAGCUGUAGUCGAUUUUCUGCCGUGGAAUAUACUCAAUUCAGCCCCAUCAAUUCUCUUUUUUUUUUCUGCCACUAAAUCUGCCAAUUAAAGAGUCCAAAACCAGCUUGCUUUCUGUUCCUUUUAAUUCCCCCAAAGCUGCCGGUUUUCUCCCUGUCUAUAUAUUAUGUUUUCUUCCGCCCACCAGCCUCGGCUUGCUGUAUAUUUAAUCCAGGGAUUUCAAUUCGCUCCCACGGCAGCCUUCUCCUCGUCGUUUUCUGUCUAUCUGUUUAUGAAUUUUUCUACUCCCCCCGGCUUUUGUCGGCUGCCAGUGUAUAUAUACAUCAACCAUAAAACCCUGGUCCCAAAAAAAAAUAAGAACCCAAAGCCAAAAAAGUUUUGUGUACUCAAUUCUUUCGUGUAAUGCAAGUUAGUCCUUCUCUUCAUUUUCUCCUCAAUUUUGAUCCUCCAUCUUUUAUUCCGCGAGAUUUUGUCCACAAACUCAAUGUAAUAGCCAACUGAUUAUUUUCUUUUCCAAUUGCUUCAAAACGGGUCCAUAACUAAAAACAAAAGAAAAUUAACACAAGUUAGGUAAAAAUUGAUAAUUUGACGACAUAAAAACCUAAUUAUGUAGUCCGAAUAAGUGCAUAAAAUGCACUUAUCAAACACCCCCAAACUAAAACAUUUGUUCGUCCUCGAACAAAACAAAAUAAAACUUAAGUAUAACACAUUUCUAGCAUAACAAAUCAUAAAUAAAAGACUCAACGUUGAACUACUUACCAUAUGCCUCAGGUUCGAAUUUAAGCAAUAUUUUAGAAAGAUCCAAAAAACAACAAAAAAAAAAAAAAUUUUGCUUAUCACAUACCCGAUGCUCGAUUUAGAGUGUGUGUGAGAUUAGCCAACAUUGAACUAACACCUAUAUUAGAAUACAACCAAUCAAGUGUUGUUGAUUUAUUAAUAGUCCCAACCCUCUUGUGGUCAUUUUUCCUCACACCUCUCGUGUAACAAUCAC
rnacentral:lncRNA from 1 species